CAUAAUAGUAAAUGUUUUAUAAAUAAAAGAAAAUGCAGCGCAAAUAAUUUUUGGGCUGCAUGAAAGUUUAUCAGAGAUGGGAUUAAGAUUUGGUUUGAUAUACGUGUUUGUUUUUAUAUCAGUAUUGGCUUUAUUACUUCAAGAUUAUCAAGUUGAAAGCCGCGGAGGUGGUCGUGGAGGGUCGGGUGGUCGGAAGUCGAGCAGAAUCAGGAGUGGAGGGAGUGUAGGGAGUAGAGGAAGCAAUGACGGGCUAAUCAGUCAAAUGCUUGGUCCUCGUGCGAAUCCUGUGGUGGUAGAGGUGCUUGGUCUUUUACUUGUGAUUUUCCUCUGUAUCGUUGUUUGCAUAUGCAAAUGUCGCCGAUAGAUGUGUGUGUAAGGAUGGUGGUUAUGUACUGAUAUAGGGAUACAAGAAACAUACUUUACACGCUGAUCAUUUCAGUUCAGCUCAACAUUCGCACCCUUAGGUUUUUGUCAAUAUAAUUAUUUUGAAUUACUUAUUCAACACUUUUCAAAAUUCACACACAGUUUUAAAGAUUUUUUUACGUCAGAAUUACAGCAAAGUAGAAUAGUGCAAUCAUAGAACUUUAUUUAUCUUUGAAAUGAUCGCAAAAUAAGAAUUGCUCACACUUUUUAUAAUGUCAGUUUGAGAUAUCGAAAACAUUUUGUUUCAAACUAACAUGCGAGCUUAUUAUUAUGGCAUGAACGGCUGCAUUUUGACAGCGUUAAGAUGAAAAUAUUACUCGUCAAUGAACAAUUUGCGUAUGUUUGGCAAGUAUUUAUUGCGAGAUUUUACUUCUUUUGUUAUUUUCUAAUGUGCAAUAUAUACUUUUAACAUCGCAGUAUGAGUAUACAGAAAUUUCCAUAAAAAUAACCGAAAGAGCGAAAUUUUAUUAAACUGACAUAAAAGUGUACGUACUUAAAUUCCUCAAAACUGUGCUCAAAAAGUUUAAUUUUGAUUUUAGCUUUAUAACAAUGAAUUUUUGUGUUAUUGUUAUUGUACGUUUUAUGAUUUGUUUUUUUUUGUGUGCUAAGGUGCUAAAGCCUGGAACCGCCAUACAAAUUAAAGGCUGUUCGUGUGUUCAUUUACAAAAAAAUGGUUUCUAAAUUUAAAUAUAACAAAAAAAGACAACAAAAAAACAACAACGUUACCGUGUGAAAUACUUUAAAAAAAAGUCUGAAAAUCAGCUUGAAAUUUUCGGAUCUCUUGAAUCAUGGAUAAAUAUCUCAAAAUUUAGCCCACGGGCCUAUCCAUUUUAUUUGACCAUAUAACAGACUUUAUGUUUAUUAACCAUGAGUGAAAUGUAUUGUAGAAAAUGUCUAUUCGCAAAAAUGACGUUGAAAUUGUAGAACAAAUUUCAUUUAUUUAAACGUGAAGAACUAACAUUAAAUAAAAUUAAUUUGUCUAGAAUAUUCGAAACAUUUGUGUGUUUUGGUGCCUUUUUAAAAAUGGACAUGGUUUUAAAAUGAGACAAGAUAUAAGAUGGCUUAGAUAUUUUUAUUAACUUUAUUGAUGACAUUCACUAGAUAAUUAUCACAAUUUGUGCCAAAUUUUAGAAAUGGACUUUAUGUAUUCAUAAUAACGUUUUGUGUUAGAAGUAGUGUUAUUGCUAAUAAGUGUACGUCAUAUACCACAUAUUCGUAUUUUAUGCUAGAACUAUAUUGUAUUUAAGAGGUUAUAUAUUGCAGAACCAUGUUUUGUUGUAUUUCAACAAUACAAAGAGGUUAUACGUCUGCGGAAUAACACAGCACGAUGGAGGAUUCCAGGGGGCAUAUAACUGACUUGUAUUUUGCGAAAUAGUAAACCGUGGUCCUGUUAUAUAUUAUUUCAGUUCUUCUAGGCCUUUUUCGGUACAACUAGUAAGUUAGUCUAUUCCACCGAAUUAUCGAUUCAGAGCGAAUGUUCUGUGAUAUUAUUUCGAUUUUGAAAAGUCUUUUGUAUAAAAUAGUAGAUCAAAUGUGGCAGCACUAUUUCUCGGCGCAUGUAUGGCGCUAAAUAAAAUGUUGACGUAUAUAUUAUUGUACGUUAAUAUUACCGUGUCUUAAUGAAAGUGUUCAUUUUUUUCUUGUCAGAAUCAAUGAUAUUUUUCCAGUGAUUUACUAGUGUAACCGCCCAAGGGGAAUAACUAUAAAGAAAUCUCCGUAUCUGCAUGAAUUAUACCUCUUUUAUAAGGUUUGUGAAGUAGACUAUCUACUAUACGUGGCUCUAUCAUUAGUUACGGAAUUUCAUCUGUGUAAUUUCUAAAUGAUAUGCCUUUACCAAAAUAGCUACAUCUUUAUAAUACUGCAAAUGAAUUUCUCGGAUUUUCAUUGGUUAACAUGCACGUUAUAUAAAACCGUAUACCCCGUGAGCGAAUUUCCCCUUCAGCGGGCCCCUCUACACUGACGGUAUAUACGGAAAGUGAAUAUCGAUUUUGAUUGGCCGUUG